rnacentral:rRNA from 1 species
UACGUAGGGUGCAAGCGUUAAUCGGAAUUACUGGGCGUAAAGCGUGCGCAGGCGGUUAUGUAAGACAGGUGUGAAAUCCCCGGGCUUAACCUGGGAACUGCAUUUGUGACUGCAUAGCUAGAGUACGGUAGAGGGGGAUGGAAUUCCGCGUGUAGCAGUGAAAUGCGUAGAUAUGCGGAGGAACACCGAUGGCGAAGGCAAUCCCCUGGACCUGUACUGAUGCUCAUGCACGAAAGCGUGGGUAGCAAACAGG